rnacentral:rRNA from 2 species
UGCCCCAGUAACGGCGAGUGAAGCGGCAACAGCUCAAAUUUGAAAUCUGGGGCCUUUGGCCUCCGAGUUGUAAUUUGCAGAGGGUGCCUCGGAGUGCGGACCGGCCCAAGUGCCUUGGAACAGGAUACCAUAGAGGGUGAGAGUCCCGUAUCCGGCCGACACCGUGCUCCGUGUGAGGCCCCUUCGACGAGUCGAGUUGUUUGGGAAUGCAGCUCUAAGCGGGUGGUAAAUUCCAUCUAAAGCUAAAUACCUGCCAGAGACCGAUAGCGAACAAGUAGAGUGAUCGAAAGAUGAAAAGCACUUUGAAAAGAGAGUGAAACAGUACGUGAAAUUGUUGAAAGGGAAGCGUAUGGGGCCAGACAUGGCCGCGUGGUUCCGGGUGCCUUCUGGCGCCUGUACUCCACUGCGGUCAGGCCAGCAUCGGUUCUGGGGGUCGGAGAAAGGCGUCGGGAAUGUAGCUCCCCUCGGGGAGUGUUAUAGCCCGUCGUGUAAUGCGGCCACCUGGGACCGAGGACCGCGCUCUGCGAGGAUGCUGGCGUAAUGGCCUUAUGCGGCCCGUCUUGAAACACGGACCAAGGAGUCUAACAUCUGUGCGAGUGUUUGGGUUUGAAGCCCGGACGCGUAAUGAAAGUGAACGGAGGUGGGAGCCCUCGGGCGCACCAUCGGCCGAUCCUGACGUUUUCUGAGGGAUUUGAGUAAGAGCAUAGCUGUUGGGACCCGAAAGAUGGUGAACUAUGCGUGAAUAGGGUGAAGCCAGAGGAAACUCUGGUGGAGGCUCGCAGCGGUUCUGACGUGCAAAUCGAUCGUCAAAUUUGCGUAUAGGGGCGAAAGACUAAUCGAACCAUCUAGUAGCUGGUUCCUGCCGAAGUUUCCCUCAGGAUAGCAGUAGCGCACUCAGUUUUAUGAGGUAAAGCGAACGAUUAGGGACCUAGGGGUUGAAACAACCUUUAUCCAUUCUCGAACUUUGAAUAUGUAAGAAGUCCUUGUUGCUUUGUUGAACGUGGACACUCGAAUGAUGCGCUACUAGUGGGCCAUUUUUGGUAAGCAGAACUGGCGAUGCGGGAUGAACCGAACGUGGGGUUAAGGUGCCAGAAUGCACGCUCAUCAGACACCACAAAAGGUGUUGGUUCAUCUAGACAGCAGGACGGUGGCCAUGGAAGUCGGAAUCCGCUAAGGAGUGUGUAACAACUCACCUGCCGAAUGAACCAGCCCUGAAAAUGGAUGGCGCUCAAGCGUGCUACCCAUACCCCACCGUCUCUGCGGGUUUUCUGCAGAGACGAGUAGGCAGGCGUGGAGGUUUCGUGACGAAGCCC